rnacentral:rRNA from 1 species
GAUGAACGCUGGCGGCGUGCCUAAUACAUGCAAGUCGAGCGAAUGGAUUAAGAGCUUGCUCUUAUGAAGUUAGCGGCGGACGGGUGAGUAACACGUGGGUAACCUGCCCAUAAGACUGGGAUAACUCCGGGAAACCGGGGCUAAUACCGGAUAACAUUUUGAACCGCAUGGUUCGAAAUUGAAAGGCGGCUUCGGCUGUAACUUAUGGAUGGACCCGCGUCGCAUUAGCUAGUUGGGGAGGUAACGGCUCACAAAGGCAACGAUGCGUAGCCGACCUGAGAGGGUGAUCGGCCACACUGGGACUGAGAAACGGCCCAGACUCCUACGGGAGGCAGCAGUAGGGAAUCUUCCGCAAUGGACGAAAGUCUGACGGAGCAACGCCGCGUGAGUGAUGAAGGCUUUCGGGUCGUAAAACUCUGUUGUUAGGGAAGAACAAGUGCUAGUUGAAUAAGCUGGCACCUUGACGGUACCUAACCAGAAAGCCACGGCUAACUACGUGCCAGCCGCCGCUGUAA